CGAAUUCGAGUAGUGAAAACAUCGUGGCGAAGACCCAUCACUAGAUCCCAGGAAAUCGCAACAGGAAGCACCCUUCGCCAUGAUGGGAAUCGGACUCACCCGUCGGAAGAAGAAAACAACACAAACAUCGCAUUAAAAAAUAUUAAUUCACCAAAAAAAAUUUUUUCUUUCGACCAUGGACUUGACACUGGGUUUGACCAACUUGCCAGUCGUCACCUGCUGAAAUUUGCAACCGGAGACGCGGAGGAGGGGGGAAUUUAAGAAAUACAAAGAGCGGGAGGGAAGUGUUUGAAAAAGAGAGGGAUGCCACCACAUCAGGGGAGGCUGGGACUUUCCUUGGCCGGCGACGAAAGGGGGGAAUAAGGAGGGUGUGGCUUAAUGUAAGAAAUCAAUGAUUCAGCCGCCCCUGUAAGAAUAGUUGGCUUUCUAAUAACGGCAUCGCUCCUGGAUACGAAGGAGGAAAAGGAUUUUUCCCACCCUCGAUGAUUUUUUACCCCAAUUGGGGGGUAAAAGCGACCCCGGGAAGCAUAAUUCAUAACUUAAAUUACUAAAAUACCCCAUUAAUUUCUGCACUGAUUUCUAACACGAACAUUAAGAAUAUAUACUUGCUACCUUUGCAAUUUAUGGCUGGCAAGACUUAGAAAUUGCGUUAUUCUGUUACGUGAAAUUUAAUUAUGACGAGAGGGCUGGAAUUUCACAAAAACACGUUUUUUGCCCUUUUAAUUAAGACGCAAUAAAGAUGAGAAAAAAUUUUCUACAAAAAUAAAAAAGUUAACAUGCAUCCUAACAAGUCAUUACGAAACUAAAAAUGCAGUACUGCCAAAUGGGACUGAAAUCUGUGAAAAAUUACUAUAAAAAAUCUCAAUUCAAUCCGAUCAAAAGUCAAGUUAAAAAUAUGUAAAAAAUACAAUUUUUAUAUACUGGAUGAGUGUUCAAAAAGUGCAGUUUUCAGUUACCAAAUCAGAUUUUAUUUUGGAGAAAAUCGUAGAAUAUUUUUAGCUGACUCACUCUAUAUCUGAUACAAUUUUUUAUAUUUGCUCUCCAGAUAAAAGCGAAUACCUUCAAAAUAUUUUUUUCUUAAUCUUUGACUUUUCUUGAUUCUUAAAAAAUAUCUUUUGUGUCUCAAUUGUCAAAUUUAAUUUCGUUUAUUAUAUUCUGUCCUUGUUUGUUUAAUAAAACUGAGAAUUUACUGAUCUUUUAUUAACACUUAAGUUUAUAGUAGCUGUAAUUUCGACAAAAUUUAUUUUUACAACUAAAUUUUGUUUAGU